rnacentral:lncRNA from 1 species
GUGCUGGGCUGUGGCCUCCACACCAAGCAGCCGCCCUGGGCCGCCUUCCUUCGUCUGUGCGUGCAGCGCCGCCUCCUUCAGCUUAGGCCCGACACUCCAUGAACUCUCAUUUUCCACCUUCUCCGUCUCCAGCUUCCAAGCUGCACAGGGCCAGGCCGAGGUACGUGAUGGCGGGCACUGAAUUACAGAUCCCGUCUGUGGCCGCCAGCCUCUGUGUCCUGCCACCUCCUCCGAGAGGACAUCACCGCCACCAGGUGGAGCGAGUCUCCUCCUCGGCGCUCCAACCACGUGCUGUUUAUUACUCUGUGGGGAUUCCCAUACCGAGGCCUCUUCAGUUCCUGGAACAGUAGCACUAAAAGGCUCCUGAGUGCCUCUGUUAAUUUGAUUGUUCUGGUUCGCACUACAAUGACCGGGCUGGAGAGGGGGCGCUCGUAAUGAAACAGGAACUGCUCCUCGCGCCCGCUCCAGAGUCCUUUACAUCUUUGGGGAGAGGGCAUACGGGGAGCUACAUUUCAUUUUCCUGAAGAUUUUCCACGCGAAAGUGCUGGGGAGAGAGUUGGGCCUGGGAGGCUGCGCCUUCUUCCCGCGAAUCCCGAAAACUGCGCGGCAAAGGCGGGUUCCGCAGAAGUCGCGCGUGACCCGGGGCGCCGCCCUCCUCGGGGCCCAUUCGGAUCUGCCGCCCGUCCUCUCCAGAGCGCCCCCUGGCGCCCUCUAGGCCAUCUUGAUUCCACCGCCGCAGUUGAAAGAAUUAAUAAAUAAAUCCUAGUCUCGCGUCUAGACCGGUCCGUGAGGGUCCCCUGCUCACCGGACACCCUGCCGCAAUCUCUGCUGUCCCAUUCUGGCCUCCCUACGGGGACGGGGGCCACCGUUUGCACAUCAGCGGCGUUUGGGACAGCACUGUGCAAGAUCUGUGACUCGGCUUUCAGAAGCUUCUGCCACAAGGCUUCAAAGGAAACCUUCAAUUUUCACAUUUCCUAGGGGGAAAAAAAAUCUGAGAUUUCUUCUUGUGGCUUGAUGAACUUAGCUUUCGUCGCUGGAACAAAACCCGAGGAACAGCGUCUUCGCCACCCUUGCCACCUUACUGAUGUUUCUCAGGGGGCACAUGCCCAUCGCAACCUUAUGACCAAUCCCAUUUUUCAGAUGCAGAAAGAGGCUCAGAGAGGUUAAGUGCUACUUGCUCAAGGCCACAGCAGGGAGUGGAGCUGGAUUCGCUCCCAGGCAACUGACCCCAGCGUGCAGUCGAUGCCUUCUCCUAGUCCCACUCACCGUGUAAGACCUGGUAUUUACAAAUUAGAUUCUCGUUGUGCUUCUCCAUUGGAAGGGCACUAGGGGAGCUCAUUGUCUAAGACUGCCAUCCCUAACUGCCUUUUAAAAAGAAAUCUGGGCCGGGCGCAGUGGUUCAUGCCUGUAAUCCCAGCACUUUGGGAGGCCGAGGCAGGCAGAUCACGAGGUCAAGAGAUCGAGACCGUCCUGGCUAACACGGUGAAACCCCGUCUCUACUAAAAAUACAAAAAAUUAGCCGGGCGUGGUGGCGGGCGCCUGUAGUCCCAGCUACUUGGGAGGCUGAGGCAGGAGAAUGGCUUGAACCCAGGAGGCUGAACUUGCAGUGAGCCGAGAUCGCCCCACUGCACUCCAGCCUGGGCGACAGAGCGAGACUCUGUCUCAAAAAAAAAAAAAAAAAAAAAAAUCUGACGUGACAAGGCCUUUAGUUUUUAUAAGUGAGGUCUCCUCUCUUUGCCUAGAUAUUCCUCCGAUAACAUCAAUGAAAUUUUGCCCAGCACAGAGCAAGUACUAAAUAAUGAUUUGGUGAAUCUAAUGUUGAGCCUGCAGUAAUCCAACUAGAAACACCCACUCAGCCACUCGGGCAUACCUUUUAUUUGGGCAAGGGGCACUGCAGUUCUCUGGGCAGGGGUCAGCUAGGAGAGACCAAUAGAUGCCCCCACCCCAGGCUCCUAGACCCAUCUCCAGGACCAAACAGCCAAAGCCCCUCUUCUUUUCUUCAAAAUACACACAUUUCUAGAAAUUCUCUGCAAAAUACAUAGGCUACUAGAUAAGCACCCAGUUUCCCUCUGGGGUCAUUUGUUCCCGAAUGAGGCUUAUUAAAAGAGGAAACUAUUUUUAAGCUAAAUCAUCAAUCAAAAGUAUUCUUCAUUCUGGUAUAUGGCUGCUUUCCACAGAUGAUAAAAUCCCGUCAACUUGAUCCAAAGAAAAAAUGACCUACAUAACAAUGACAGCAUGAAUAACAAUUAAUCCUCCAUUGAAAUGUUCAAAAGCUAGAAUUGUGGUAAAGCCAAGAUUCCCAGGGAGUGUCAGGAACUGCUCUCUUGAUUCUAAGCUUGAAGCAGGUAAAGAAAAGGUUGUCUGGGACUAGGGCUUUCGGGGAUAGGACCCAAAUCCCAAGGCAAAGGGAGUCAGAAGCGAGUAAGAAAAGCAAACAGCUCCUACCUACCCAGUGCCAAAGAAACGCAGACACCAGUUCUGUGUCGGUUCUGCUUGAAAAGGUCUGAGAAGAAUAAUUUGGUAGAUGAAUCAUUGAAGAAUAAUUUUGCAGACAGCUCCAUCAAGCCAAAUGCCCAGCGUGAGGGCUGUGUGUAUAAUACUGUCAUAACCUUUGAAGAUAGAUUCUGUUCAUCAACACGGCUGUUUACAUAAUCACUUGGUCACCUCACCAAAUGGAUUAAUCUUUUUGGUCACAUUCCUUAUCAGUGCAUGGAGAGGCUAAUUGUUGGUGGCCCAAUGUGUCCCAUAAACGGAUCCCAUGAGAAUAAGCUUGCAGCAACAGAUGAUGAAGGGAACUGAGAUACAGACGAAAGCACAGCGGCCUGGGAGACAGGAGACGAGGCUCCGCCUGGACCUUGACGACGACCUUCCUUAAAACUAUGGACUCGUCAUCUGACCUCUCAAGGCCUCCAUUUCCCCAUCUGUAAAACCGAAAGCCCCUCAGCAAUCUGGGGCUAUCAUCUGAAAAGUGUGGGCAGCUGCGGGCGCUCAUACCUCAAGCCCCAAGAGUUUCUUCUUCUAACAGUAACAUACUUUGCACAUGACCCAGCAAUCCCACUCCUGGGUAUUUACCUGAUAAAUGAAAACCCAUGUUUGCCGGGCAUGGUGGCUCAUGCAUGUAAUCCCAGCACUUUGGGAGGCCAAGGUGGGCGGAUCACUUGAAGUCAAAAGUUCAAGACCAGCCUGGAAAACAUGGUGAAACCCCAUCUCUACUAAAACUACAAAAAUUGGUGGGGUGUGGAGGCACAUGCCUGUAGUUCCAGCUACUCGGGAAACUGAGGCAGAAGGAUUGCUUGAACCCAGGAAUUGGAGGUUACAAGUGAGCCAAGAUUGCGCCAUUGCACUCCAGUGCAGAGCAAAAGUCUGUCAAAAAAAAAAAAAAAAGAAGAAGAAAAAGAAAAAAGGAAUGAAAGGAAAGAAAAGGAAGGAAGGAAGGAAGGACCAUUAAGAAGGUACCUGUACCCAAAUUUGCAGAGCAGCUUUAUUUUUAUUUAUCACCGCCCCAGACUGGAGUCAACCCACACGUCCUCAGCGUGUGAAUGAAUAGACCAACCGCAGCACCUCGUACAGUGGAGUGCUACUAAGGAGCGAAUAUGGAUUCACACAGCAACACGGGUGCAUCCCAAAAGCAUGCUGCUACACGGAUGCAAGGCCUUCGGACUAUAUGAUCCCAUUUAGGAGACAAUUGGGAAAAGGGAAAAUCCAGGGGUGAAGAAUAGAUCUGUGGUGGCAGGGGUGGGAAAAGCGGGGAGGAUUUGCCUACUGAGGGGCAGCACAAGAGAAUUUUGCGGGGCGAUGGAUCUGUCUGUAUCUUGACCAUAGUGAUGAUACAUGACUGUGCAUUUGUCAGAACUCACAGGACUGAAUGAAAAGAGAAGUGAAUUUUACUGCAUGUGAAUUGUUAAAAUAAAUGCUAGACAGUAUUUUAAAAAUCAAGCCCAGAUCCUGCAAGACAUUAUGGCUCCCCACCAGAAGGGGAGAGACGGGGAAAGAGAAGUGUCCCCAAAGUUAACCCACGUUCCCUGGGACCCACCUCCCUCCCCACUGCCACUUCCCACCAGCCUCACGCACGGGCCAGGCCCUUCCCUUUGCAGCUCACAGCCCAGCAGAUGUUAGGUCAGAAUGCGUCCCCUCACUUGACUAAAGGUUUACAGCCAGCAGGGUGGAAAUGAACCAGAUAUUAACACCCCCUCCUCCAUGCCCUGCCCACCUUCUGGCCAGUACCAGUGAAGCAGAAGCCACUCUCCCACCCCCAGGCUGUCCCAAAGCCCUGAAGACCCAAGAAAGCAGAGCCAAGUGGAGUGACCCUGAUACCAGGGCCAGCUGCCCAGUCCCCUGUAGCUGGGGAGGACCCCCUCUUCUUGUGAGGCAGACACUGGGAGUGACCCCUCCCUGCAAGGGAGAUUUCUCAUCCCCCAGGGUUCCCAGAGGGUUCCCAGAGGAAAUACAGGAUACCCAAUACAUUUGAAUUUCAGAUAAAAAAUAAAUAACGUUCUGAUACAAGUCUGUCCUGUGCAAUAU